rnacentral:lncRNA from 1 species
CCUUAGUCUCUACCUCCAUCUCAGAUUUAGUAAAGCGCUCUAGGACUCAAAGGAAGAAUCUGGAGAGUGGUAGCACUUCCUUCCAACCCGAGGAUGCUCAUGCUCUUACAUAGUCCUUCCCUGCCCUCUUCCCAUCCACCCUCCCCAGUUUGGCCAGCUCCUAAGGCCUUCCUCACAAUCACAGCCACCCACUCACACCCAAACACUAGCCCCACCCUUGCCCCAGGCUGCCAAGAGUUACUUUUGAAGGUCAGAGAAGCCAAAAUAGUCUGUGCUCUCAGCAUCCCCCAUCCCCCCUUAAUUGCAGCCAGAGGAGAGGAGGAGCUGAGUCACUAGUACUCUUGGGGGUUGAGGGGACAAAAGGGGAGCAAUCCUUGCUUAGAUCCGGGGAUGCAAAUCUGCGACAAUGGCAACAACCCCGUUUGGGUAGAAGCGGCCAUCUGCAGAGAUACACAGGGAAAACCAGGCUGAGUUCUGAGCAUCACAAAAGGGAAAUACCCCUCUUCUGCAACUUCAUCGUUCUUAUUUCCUCCCACCUCAAGCCUUCUAUCUCCUCCCUGCUUUCUAGGGCUUUCUGGAGUGUGUUAGGAGGGAAACUUAAGUAGACAUUUAGUUUACGAACAAAAUAACAUUUCCCAGACCAAUACAGAGCCCACCCAUAUUCUCAGCUGCCACCCCCAAGGGCCACACCCUGGGCAUGGUGCCAACUCACAGUGGAGUUUUCCUUCAGCCUUCACCCUCUGAACAGCUACCCACCACAACCAACUCUCCACCUGCUGUAUUCCUAGGCUCUGCUGCAAUGAAAUGGUGAGAUGCCAAAGAAGAAAGAGAGGCUGACUUCCAAAUCUGCAAUGUACAAAUGCCACUGGAAGUCUUUCUCC